UAAGGAAUAUUGGACAAUGGGCGGAAGCCUGAUCCAGCCAUCCCGCGUGCAGGAUGACUGCCCUAUGGGUUGUAAACUGCUUUUAUGAGGGAAGAAUGGUAUCCAUUUAUGGGUAUUUGACGGUACCUCAGGAAUAAGCACCGGCUAACUCCGUGCCAGCAGCCGCGGUAAUACGGAGGGUGCAAGCGUUAUCCGGAAUCACUGGGUUUAAAGGGUGCGUAGGCGGCCAAGUAAGUCAGGGGUGAAAGCC
rnacentral:rRNA from 1 species